UCUUCAGUCACAAGGCUGGCUACCCUGCCAAAGAAAAGAAGUAGGCUGGUUUGGUGGGAUGCUUUAUUUACAAGUCUGUGCUGGCUGUUUUCAUUCCCUCUUAUCCUCUAAAUCCAUUCUUUCAGUGGAUCGAGGUUGAACUGAUGGGUAUGUGAUUUCGUGGGUUCAUUUUUUUCCUGCUUUUUAAAGGCUCCUCGGGAAAAGAAAUGAAAGCCUUGUGGGCUCCUGGAGGGGCACUGACAGUGUUGCAGAAAAUAGCAUGGAGGUAUAAAUGCAAAAAUCUUUCCUUUUGUCAUCCUCACUUUGCAGUUGCAAUGUCAGAGGUGGAGAGAGCACAUUGUUCAGCAAUUUGAACUGCCAGUACACAGAUUUGGUGUGCUGAUUACCAUUUAGCAGUAUUAGAAUUCAAAUGUGCGGAGUGCUUCCCAGAGGAGACCCUGCAGACCCCCAGAACAUUGUUGCAGCUUCAGAUAUUUGUGUCCACUGGAAAAUGGCUUAAGAUCACUGACUGACUGACUGACUGACUGACCAUACAGUGAGUAUCACUGAACAGAUGUCAGAAGAUAAUUAUCCACCUGAACCAGAUGGCCAGCUGAAAGAGAGGAUCCAAUAUAUUAGUUUCUUGAAUGUUUUUUUUUCUUAAUGUUUAAUGAGCACAGGAGGAGAAGAAGUGGUAAAACAAAACGCUGUGAGAGAAUCAAGGCUUUCUGGUUAUGGGAAAUUCUCUGGCUUGAUUCUGUAAUGAGGCUAUUCUCUCCCAGAAGUACACAUUAUGAUCACUUCUGUAAGACUAGGCUGAUGAAUAAGCAGAUGUUUUUGUUUUGCACUUGGCUCUGAAUUAAUCUCUUGUACCAUGCAGAGAGCUGUCAGAGUUUCACAGUUAAGAGCUACUUCCAGCAUGGUUUAGACAAAAAGGCAAUCUUACGUCGCUAGAGGAAAAUAAUGACUCUACAAUGCUAGUCACACCUUGCCAUGUCAGCGCCCACUUUCUUCCUGUUUUCUGUUCAAAACAAGCAUAACAUCUGUAGGAAAUUUUUCUGCUUUUGGAGUAAUCUGCUUCUGGUGUGGAGGAUCCAAAUUUCUUCCCAAGCAAGAGCAUGUUAUUCACCAUGUCUACCCAGGAAUAGUUGUGAAUUGCAAGAAUAGAGAGAAUAGAGAGAAAAAUACAGCAUUUUCAUGAUACUGUUCUUGUUUGUUCAAAAAUAUGAAACAAUGUAUCUGGACUUACACAGUAAGUACAGUAAAUUAAAAUUUUAUGGUGAAAAUGAAGACUAUUCAAUAUACAAAUGUCAGUCCAAAUGACAUGGAAGCCACAAAUCUGACAAUAAUGAAUAUUUUACAGAUGCUGGCAAGUAAAAUCAUCAGCUAGAUGCAUGCCUCAAAUGCCAGAAAAAACCAGCAUUUGAUGUUACUGAGCAGGGUUGAAGAAGCUAAUCCUGUUCACACUGUGAGGAGCUGUUAAAAAUGAUUGUAAGGGUAUCUAAAAACUUAUCGAAUACUGCUAAGGCAUCUCAGCUGAAUCUGCUUCCUUAUAACAUUAAGCAGAGGCAGCUCUGUUGUCACUGUUAGUGAAGGAGAUACCAUGUCUGAACAUGCUGCUGGAAACUUGAGUCUCACAGUUUUGGAAGGCCCAUUUGCAAAGGUUGCAAUCGCAUAACAUGAAGAGAGUUGUCAGUCACUCACCACAUCAUCCGUUACACAGAUCAUCUACUCAUAGCUUUCCUUAUGAUGAUUUUUGAUUUUUUUUUACACCUACUGUAGCAAAGUUCUUGUUUUUCCAGUCCAGAGUAACACUUAGAACUUGCAAAUUAAGAAUCCCCUCAAAAAACAGGGAAAAGAGAUGAGAGCACUACUAAAUGCUCAGGCUUCAGAUGACCAGGUUUUCCCUUUCAUUCAUUUAAAUAAUGUAGAGCUUUUAUAAGGGAAAAAUAAUCAUUUUGCUUCAGUAUCACAAUUGCAAACUCUGACACAUUUUUAUGUCCAAGAACAUGAGUUUUCAGAAGCUGUAUGGUUCAGACGUGACAGCUACCUUCUAAGGAGUUCUUCCGUUUUCUGAUGCGUGUUCCACUGAAAAAAGGGAACCUAAAAUCAAGAUGCACUUCAGCUACUCCCUGCCAUUCACAAUGCUGCCCCAUGUGAGUUCCCUCUGGUGGGAGCAGAGAGGUGACGGGAGCAGUCAAGAAGUGCUGACAGUCAAGGUCUCUCAUUAAAUAUCUUCCCCUGCAAGUGAGGGUGUCUUAUGCUCUGCUAAUGGCAUGCCCUGAAAGACACGGGUAGAUAAUGAAACAUAACCACUUGAUUGCUUCAAGUCAUGGGUGCUGCUGCACCCUACAUCUCCUGAAAACCCUGUGCAGGCACCUAUGCUGAGUUGUUAUGCUCCUAAUGGUCCCUGGAUUUUUGAAAGCAAAAUCCUUUCCCUGUGUACUAGCAUAUAUGACAAACAGUCUGAAAUAACCCAGAACCACCUCCUGAGCACCUGCAGCUCCCUCUGAUGAAAGAAGAAAGAAUACAAGCAUAAAGUUCUGACAAGACUCUCAAACCACAGCAGGUUUUAUAGAAUAACAGAAUGCUUUGGAUUGGAAGGGACUAUAAAGACCAAUAAGUUCCCACCCCUCCAUCAUGGGCAUAGAUACCUUCCACUAGAUCAGAUUGCUCAAAGCCCAUCCCACCUGGCCUUGAGCAUUCUAGGGAUGGGUCAUCCAGAACUUCUCUGGGCAAUCUGUUCCAGUGCCUCACCAACCUUACAGUAAAGAAUUCCUUCUUAAUAUCUAAUAUGAACGUGCCCACUUUCAGUUUAAAGCCAUUCCCUGCUGUCCUAUUACUACAGGUCCUUGUAAAAAGUCCCUCUUCAGCUUUCUUGUAGGCUCCUCCUGAGGUAGGGGAAGGUGCUAUAAGGUGUCCCCAGAGCUUUCUUUUCUCCAGGCUAAACAACUGCAGCUCUCUCAGACCCAGCUCUCUCAGGCUGUCUUCAUAGGAGAGGUGCUCAAGCCCUCUGAUCAUCUUUGUGGCCCUCCUCUGGACCCACUCCAGCAGGUCGAUGUCCUUCUUAUUUUGGGGCCCCCAGAAUGAGUAAAGGAGGAGGAUCACCCAACAUGCUGGUCAUACUUUUUUUGAUGAAUACAGGAUAUGGUUGAGUUUCUGGGCUACAAGUGCACAUUGUUGAGUCUUGUUGAGCUUCUCCUCAGGGCUGCUUUUAACCAAAGUCUUUGCCCAGACUGUGUCUGUGCUUGUGUUUCAGCAGAGAUUAAUGGGCUCAGGUGAUGAAAAGAUAAGUGUAUACCUUCCUCAGUUGGAAAUAAAUCUGGAGGAAAUAAGGUUCUACAAAGAUCAGAGAAAUCAGAGGUGGCAGAGAUAACAGGAAAAAAAAGAAGAAAAUGUAAUAAAAUCUGAGAUCAUUUAUCACUUAGCAGUGAAGAGAUUGAAACUUGCAGCAGAGAGAGAAAAAUUCUUUUCUCCUUUAUGCAGAAAGAAACCACAGACAAAUCCUCCAGUGAGGGAUUCCUUGGAGACCACCAGGCCAGACUAAAAAAUUCAUUUCUGAAGUGCUCAAUUCCCACCAUUAUGAUGCCUGAUGAUAAGGACAUUUGACAACACAAUCUUUUCUCAAGAUUGUGUGUGUGAGAUGGGAAAAGAAAAUACCUAUUCCUCUUUCUGUACUGCUGGAGUUUAUGAUGGAAUAAAGUGUAGUAAGUGCUUACUGAAUAUUUUUUACUCCCUGUUUUCAGAACUUUAUUCCCCAAUACCAUUAUAUAUAGAAAAAAUAGACUCUUUAUGAUCAAUUCACUGAAUAGAAAAA